rnacentral:sRNA from 1 species
GGAGCCACCUAGGACUGGAAAUUGUAUUAAUAGUUAAGAGUCGCUGGACCGGAGCUGACCCUCUUGACUCAUGUCUCUUCCCAUUACCUUCUAGGCAAGUAGCCUGCAGUAUGAAAUGCUGCUGCUGACGGAUUCUAUCUCCAAGGAGGACAGCUGCUGGGAGCUCCGGUUACGCUGUGCUCUCAGCCUUUUCCUCAUGGCUGUGAACAUUAAGACUCCUGUGGUGGUUGAGAACAUUACCCUCAUGUGCCUGAGGAUCUUGCAGAAGCUGAUAAAACCACCUGCUCCCACUAGCAAGAAGAACAAGGAUGUCCCCGUCGAGGCCCUCACCACGGUGAAGCCAUACUGCAAUGAGAUCCAUGCCCAGGCUCAACUGUGGCUCAAGAGAGACCCCAAGGCAUCCUAUGAUGCCUGGAAGAAGUGUCUUCCUAUCAGAGGGAUGGAUGGCAAUGGGAAAGCCCCCAGCAAAUCAGAGCUCCGCCAUCUCUAUUUGACUGAGAAGUAUGUGUGGAGGUGGAAACAGUUCCUGAGUCGUCGGGGGAAGAGGACCUCCCCCUUGGAUCUCAAACUGGGGCAUAACAACUGGCUGCGACAAGUG